GGUUAAGCGACUAAGCGUACACGGUGGAUGCCCUGGCAGUCAGAGGCGAUGAAGGACGUGCUAAUCUGCGAUAAGCGUCGGUAAGGUGAUAUGAACCGUUAUAACCGGCGAUUUCCGAAUGGGGAAACCCAGUGUGUUUCGACACACUAUCAUUAACUGAAUCCAUAGGUUAAUGAGGCGAACCGGGGGAACUGAAACAUCUAAGUACCCCGAGGAAAAGAAAUCAACCGAGAUUCCCCCAGUAGCGGCGAGCGAACGGGGAGCAGCCCAGAGCCUGAAUCAGUGUGUGUGUUAGUGGAAGCGUCUGGAAAGGCGCGCGAUACAGGGUGACAGCCCCGUACACAAAAAUGCACAUGCUGUGAGCUCGAUGAGUAGGGCGGGACACGUGGUAUCCUGUCUGAAUAUGGGGGGACCAUCCUCCAAGGCUAAAUACUCCUGACUGACCGAUAGUGAACCAGUACCGUGAGGGAAAGGCGAAAAGAACCCCGGCGAGGGGAGUGAAAAAGAACCUGAAACCGUGUACGUACAAGCAGUGGGAGCACGCUUAGGCGUGUGACUGCGUACCUUUUGUAUAAUGGGUCAGCGACUUA
rnacentral:rRNA from 1 species